ACGGAAGGCAGCAGUGGGGAAUAUUGGGCAAUGGGCGCAAGCCUGACCCAGCGACGCCGCGUGAGUGAUGAAGUAUUUCGGUAUGUAAAGCUCUUUAAGCAGGGAAGAUAAUGACGGUACCUGCAGAAUAAGCACCGGCUAAAUACGUGCCAGCAGCCGCGGUAAUACGUAUGGUGCAAGCGUUAUCCGGAUUUACUGGGUGUAAAGGGAGCGUAGGUGGUUUGGCAAGCCAGAAGUGAAAACCCGGGGCUCAACUCCGUGGAUUGCUUUUGGAACUGUUGGACUAGAGUGCAGGAGGGGUAAGCGGAAUUCCCAGUGUAGCGGUGAAAUGCGUAGAUAUUGGGAGGAACACCAGCGGCGAAGGCGGCUUACUGGACUGUUACUGACACUGAGGCUCGAAAGCGUGGGGAGCAAACAGGAUUAGAUACCCUGGUA
rnacentral:rRNA from 1 species